AAAAAAGCAAACCAUGAUUUCUGUCCAAUAUUUGACCGUCCGUCUUAUUUAAAAAAAUUAUAAAAAAAUUAAAAAGACAAGUCACGCAUAAAAUAUUAAUCAUGUUUUAUCAUCUAACAACAAUAAAAAUACGAAUUAUAAAAAAAUUUCAUAUAAGAUGAACAGUUAAAGUUGGACACGGAAACCUAGGUUUGCCUUUUUU
rnacentral:pre_miRNA from 1 species